rnacentral:lncRNA from 1 species
AGGAUGACAGCCACAUUUUGAGAAGCCUUCUCACUCUGCUGAUUCACACUGAGCCUGUAGGAAGCCAAACAAAGAGUGCGAAUUCAAAUACAAUUCAAGAACACUUCAGCAUUAUUUCUCAAGACAUUUCCAAUGUAAAACCAUUGAGACUUUCCUUGUGGACUACUUGUACUACAGUUCCUCCUCUUUUGUUCUAUACAAGCAAUUAAAAACAUAGACAUAACUAUUCACAUACAUCUGAGGUUUAUUUUCCUUGAAAGAUUCAUUUAAUCACCCAUAGCAGCCAUUCGUUGUACUUCUUAACACACUGAAAUUUCAUAAGAAUGACACAAUAUUUAUAUCAGCUCUAUUGAUAAAAAUGAAUAGUUAUAGCUGAGGGACAUUUACAAAGAAUCAAUGUUUAGGUUAAUCAACCAUUACGUUUAAAUAGUUCAUUAAAUCAGUUAUAGAUCCUCAAAGUUAUGUUGGCUGUCAUAGUAUGUUUCUCCAUCCUCUGUAUAGCAGUUUUCAAAUGUAUUGUAAAAUAGAAAGAAUACGCAUUUCCCUCUUCUACAGAGUGACAGUCACAGGAUAUAAAAUGUGUUUGCCUCUUGUGGAUGUAAUGAAGGUAACAGAGAUGGAGUGCUUUGUGAAUAUGUCAAACUAUUGCAUAUUAUCUUGAUGCUGUUGGCCAGUGUAAAUAUUUCAGUCCACUGUUGAUAAGACAUUGAAUUAUUUUUUUUUCCUAUUACACUAUUCUUUGUUACAUUGUCUCCUAUUGUCCUGUUUGGGUUUUUAUAAGAUCUCUUAUUCUUGAAAGAUUUUGGAAUGCAAUUCUUAACCACUUGGACAAGAGAUCAUCCAAUGUUAUCCAUUUCCUCACAGGAUAUGAAAACCCAUUCAGGGAUCCUUCAUGAGUCUAAUCAGGAAAAAGCGCCAGGAAAAGUUUACUAUAUCAGUUACAAUCUUUUCCAGGAACAAUUACAUUCUGCUUGGCAAGCUCAUUGACAAUUGUCAAUCAUUGACGGCAGACAUUGUUGGUUGAUUUCUCUAUUGUGUCAGUCCUAUUUCAAUGAGAUGAUCCUCCGAGGACUCAAUCUGAGUACUCCUACCUUUUGCACCUCUCUGCAGUAUUCAUUCCUAUGCAUUUGCAUGUUUUUUUAUUUGAAUGAAGGUAUAGAUAUGUGUUCAGGUGUGCAUGCAUGUAUAUAGGCUAGAGGUUUUAUCAAGCAUUCUGUAAUUGAUCUGCAUGUUAUUGCUUGAGCCAGGGCUUCUAACUGAACAUGGAGACCCUGAUCAGCUAGUCUAUCUAACCAGUUUCCCCUUCAUGUUGGUCUACACCUACAGAGCUCGGGGGUGACCAGGGAGCAGAGCUGUGAGGGUUGCUAGCUCUCUUACUUUUGCACUGGUUCUGGGGUCUGCACUCCAAUGCAGCAAGGGGGUUUAGCUGCAGAGUCCUCCCUAAGCUACUUAAUAGCAACACUGUCACUGCUGGGUUCUAUUAAAAUGGUGUUCCACCAGAAAAGCAAAUGCAAAAUAAAACAUUAUUUCAGCUGAAUACUGCUAUAAACUGUUUAAUCAAAACAAUUCUCCAAAUAUCAGAAGGAAGUUGAUUUGACUGAAAUAGUUUUAUUCUAUAACUACCAUGGGAGAGGAAAUAUUUGGAAAAGCUUUUAUAUUUUAUUAAUUUUUAAAAAUUAUAAGUAUCUAUCCAUCUCUCUCUACUUUUAAACUUAACAACCAAUUGAUAACCACUCAGAAAGGAAAAAUUAUUUUUCUCUAAUAGAGUCUCACUUGGUAUACAAGCCAUUCUUAAGGCCAGGUCUCAUACCCAGUAGUAGAUGGCUAACAAAAGAAGCUCUUAUUUUAAGAAUGUGUAUGGGCAGAUGGCCAUGUUCACUAUGUAAAUCCUACUAGUCAAUGAGCAAAGGAGAUCUUUCAGUCUUCCAAUAUCUUCCUCAAAUUUGUUCUUCAGAGACUUGAAGUUAUUGUCAUAUGGAUCUUCCACUUCCUUGAUUAGAGUUAUUACACCAAGGUGUUUUUGUUAUUUGUGACUAUUGUGAAAGGCACUGUUUCCCUAACUUCUUUCUCAGCCCAUUUAUUGUUUGUGUAGGAGAUGGCUACUGAUUUCUUAGAGUUAAUUUUGUAUUCAGCCACUUUGCAGAAGGUAUUUAUAACUAUAGAAGUUUUCUGGUAAAAUUUUUGGGAUCACUUAUGUAUAGCAUCAUAUCUAUCAUCUGUGAAUAGUGAUACUUUGACUUCUUCCAUUCCAAUUUGUAUCUGCUUGAUCUCCUUUAGUUGCUUUAUUGCUCUUGUGAGAACUUCAAGUAUUAUAUUGACGAGAUAUGGGGAGAGCAGACAGUCUUGUCUUGUCCCAGAUUUUAGUGGAAAUGCUUUAAAUUUUGCUCCAUUACAGAUUCAGUGCAACCCCAUCAAAAUUCCAACACAAUCUUG